GGGUUGUGAGGUUAAGCGACUAAGCGUACACGGUGGAUGCCCUGGCAGUCAGAGGCGAUGAAGGGCGUGCUAAUCUGCGAUAAGCGCCGGUAAGGUGAUAUGAACCGUUAUAACCGGCGAUACCCGAAUGGGGAAACCCAGUGUGACUCGUCACACUAUCAUUAACUGAAUCCAUAGGUUAAUGAGGCGAACCGGGGGAACUGAAACAUCUAAGUACCCCGAGGAAAAUAAAUCAACCGAGAUUCCCCCAGUAGCGGCGAGCGAACGGGGAGGAGCCCAGAGCCUGAAUCAGCAUGUGUGUUAGUGGAAGCGUCUGGAAAGGCGCGCGAUACAGGGUGACAGCCCCGUACACAAAAGCGCAUGUGCUGUGAGCUCGAUGAGUAGGGCGGGACACGUGGUAUCCUGUCUGAAUAUGGGGGGACCAUCCUCCAAGGCUAAAUACUCCUGACUGACCGAUAGUGAACCAGUACCGUGAGGGAAAGGCGAAAAGAACCCCGGCGAGGGGAGUGAAAAAGAACCUGAAACCGUGUACGUACAAGCAGUGGGAGCCCCACCACCAAAGCAUUCUCUGGUGUUGAAGGCCCUGCAAAGCAGCAUCGCGGUGGCGGAGCGUCGUUUGCGACGCCCAACACACAAAACAAGCGGUGAGUGCUUUGGGGUGGGGUGACUGCGUACCUUUUGUAUAAUGGGUCAGCGACUUAUAUUCUGUAGCAAGGUUAACCGAAUAGGGGAGCCGGAGGGAAACCGAGUCUUAAUUGGGCGUUAAGUUGCAGGGUAUAGACCCGAAACCCGGUGAUCUAGCCAUGGGCAGGUUGAAGGUUGGGUAACACUAACUGGAGGACCGAACCGACUAAUGUUGAAAAAUUAGCGGAUGACCUGUGGCUGGGGGUGAAAGGCCAAUCAAACCGGGAGAUAGCUGGUUCUCCCCGAAAGCUAUUUAGGUAGCGCCUCGUGAAUUCAUCUCCGGGGGUAGAGCACUGUUUCGGCUAGGGGGUCAUCCCGACUUACCAACCCGAUGCAAACUGCGAAUACCGGAGAAUGUUAUCACGGGAGACACACGGCGGGUGCUAACGUCCGUCGUGAAGAGGGAAACAACCCAGACCGCCAGCUAAGGUCCCAAAGUCAUGGUUAAGUGGGAAACGAUGUGGGAAGGCCCAGACAGCCAGGAUGUUGGCUUAGAAGCAGCCAUCAUUUAAAGAA
rnacentral:rRNA from 1 species